AACUUUUGGGAUGUUCAAUUCAAUGGUAUCGUUUGGCAGCUGAAGGUGGCAAAAAGGAUCUUAUUUCAAGGCUCAUGGAACUACUUCUGGGAUUGUACACUCCAUUGAUAUUCAUCCAUCAAGAAAACACACUUGUAUUCUGGCUAUUUUGGGAGGUUCUUUAUUAGGGACAUUCUUAUCUGAGAAGGUCAGAUUUUCUCAUUUGUCAGCCAAAAAACAUCCUUAAAAUAUAAUAGUUUUGAAACUAUACCCUUAUUUGGUCUGUGUUCUCAGUUUUCGAUUCGUCAAUAUGAUUGGCUAAUGGUGAUAUUUGC